UACGGGGGGGGCAAGCGUUGUUCGGAAUUACUGGGCGUAAAGGGCGCGUAGGCGGCCUUCUAAGUCGGACGUGAAAUCCCUCGGCUCAACCGAGGAACUGCGUCCGAUACUGAAAGGCUUGAAUCCGGGAGAGGGAUGUGGAAUUCCAGGUGUAGCGGUGAAAUGCGUAGAUAUCUGGAGGAACACCGGUGGCGAAGGCGGCAUCCUGGACCGGCAUCGACGCUGAGGCGCGAAAGCUAGGGGAGCAAACAGG
rnacentral:rRNA from 1 species